rnacentral:misc_RNA from 1 species
AAUUAAAAAAAAAAAAUUUAAAAAGCCUCAUCAAAUUAUUUCCAAGAUACAGUUCCAUGACCCAUGAAAUAUCCCAAAAAGGCCCACAAAGAAAAGUUCCCUUGUUUCCAAAAAGAUGAAGGUACCUGUGCUUAAGCACAAGGUACAAGCACUUUAAGCUAUAUGUAUACAUAUAUGAUAUAUCUUCAUCUUUAAAGACGGAAAAUUAUCCCUGUUAUUAUAUCUUUAACCUGUUUAAUAUGGGUCUUAAUUAAUGAUGAAUUAUAAUUAUCUGCAGGACAAAGCUGAAGCAAACUGA